rnacentral:lncRNA from 1 species
UUAAGGUUGAAUUUUAAAACUGAAAUAGCAUAAAAUAUUUUUCUAUUAAACACAACUUUAUAGUUUUGGUAGAACUGCAUCUCACUUUAACCAUUGCAUCAUGUAAGUUGCUAGUUUGUUGUAAUGUUGGGAUGGGAUGUGUGCAUCUAGUUACUGUCAGUAGAUUGACUCAGUAUGAAUGCUUUUUUCUAUGCACCAAUGUAAAAUUGUGGGAUGCUUACUUGACGUUUUAUGCAGUAAUACCCAUAUAAUUCAUAAUUGUUAAUUCAACUGAGAUACUAAUUACUGUCUUAAUUAUAAUUAAAUUAUUUUAGAUAAGAAAUAAGUAUAGAUACAUUUUUAACUUUGAAAUGAAGGCUUCCUGUUGAUGCGGCAUUGAGUGGAGAUGUUACCACUGGAACAGUAAGGAUAAAAAAGAGAUUAGAAGACAGUAUGUCACAGAUUUCAUGAUGAAUGGCAAUUGUAAGACAAGAGGACAGAGCAAAACAAAAAUCUGCUUUAUUGUGUAAAAAAAUUUAAAACAUAAUAAGCUGGAUAACAUAGAGACAUUUUAACAGAUCAUAGUAAAUUUGAUAUUUCCUUUCAACAAAAAGAAUCAACGAAAUUAGCCACUUGAAAUGAAAAUUUAAAAGGAAUAGACAAAAUGAAUCAGCUGAAAUGAGAAUUAAAUGUAUAACAAAAGUUUUUAAAUGAUUUUUAACAGGAUUUGAGCUUGUAAAUGACUUGAAUUUUUGUAUAAAAAGAAAACUUUCUAGGUGGAGAGAUGACAAAACACGAUUAUUGAUUCACCUUUUUAUUUUUACCUUCUUUUAAUGUGGCUACCAGGUAAUUGAAAAUUACGUACGUGGCUUGCAUUAUAUUUCUAUUGGACAGUGCUGAUCUGAAAAGUAUAUGAAGACUUGAGUUGAAGUCUUGUUCAAAUGAAUCUGAGAAGCUAGAAAAAGCUUCGUUUCAGCAUUCUAGGUCUUGGGAGCCCAGAAGUUGGAAUGGGCCUCCACAGAAAAAGCCUGAUUCAGAAAUAGUUUUGAUUUCUGAGUCUGAUUCGGCAUAUAUCCGUCCUAUUUGUACAGUUUGUGUGGAGGACUGCGAUUGGUCACGGAAGUUAUCAGCAUACCAAAAUGUAUUCUACUGGGACAAUUUUCCUGCCAUUCUUCUUAUCUCAUACUCCUGAUCUUGUAAGUAGAAGAGGAAAUCUGAAAAGGGUAUAUUAUUCAGAAUAUAUAGUUAUGCUACUUGGCUAGAUAUUAAUCUAUGGAAUGUGAAGGAGGUGGGACUUCCAGAAUGGCAGAGUAAGGUACUUGAUGAACCCUCUCCUCAGCAAAACACCAAUUUAACUGUUACGAAUUAUAAAUAAAACAAUCAUUUAAAGUCUCUGGAAAUU